rnacentral:lncRNA from 1 species
GGCCACGGGAGAGGAGGCGUCAUAUUCGAAAAUGGCGGAAGGCGGCGAUGCGGCUCUUUUCAAGUGGACUGAUGAACACACUCAGCUCCUUAUUCAGUGGAGAGUGGCUAAUGAAGCCCUCUUCACUGGAAAGCGUAAUGCUGCCAUCAAAGGUUUUGAAGCUUUUGUGACAGAGCAGGGACUUGAGGGCAAAAUUUCUGCCGCUCAAGUCAAAAGAAAGUGGGAGAACCUAAAACUAAAAUAUAAAGUAAGAUUUUUUUUUUUUAAU